ACUACGUCGUGUUUUUUGGGGCCAUUAACACUGUAUUGCACUUCCCAUUUCAUUUUGCAAUAGCCCCAACCUAGUUUUUCCUUCAUCCGUCUCCCCUCUGCUCUAUCUCGAUCUCUCACUGCUCGAUCUCCGUCUCAGCUGCAAGACUCCUGUACUCUGUCUCGAUCUCUCACUGCUCGAUCUCCAUUUCUCAGCUGACGCCCUUGAUUGAUGUUUGCUAACCCGCUCUAUCUCGAUCUCUCACUGCUCGAUCUCCAUUUCUCAGCUGAAGCCCUUGAUUGAUGUUUGCUAACCCGUCUCUCUUUCGGCAUUAUCUCAUCCGAGAUUACAAAGUUGAAGCCCUAGGUUUCUCUUCAGGCUGUCUCGAUCUCUAACCAGCUACUCGAUCUCCAAGAGUUGUUAAUUUAUGUCAUUUGGAGAUCUUACUCACUAGAUUUUUCUCCCAAAACGUUCUCGCUGAAGCCUCUCUCAGAGUUGGGCAGAUGAGUUCAAUUUUUGAAUAGGAUGCCUACUAACAGGUUAGGGAUUUCAAUUUUUGAAGAGGAUGCCUACUAGGAAAAGGUUUCGAAGAAGUGGAUUUUGGAGGAAAGUCGGAGGAAAGAGAAAAGUAUGCGGUGGAAGUGAUGAUGGUAGGCAGCAGGCCGAGUUAGGGUUUGUGAAUGGGAAGGGCAGGAGGUUCUUGAUUCAUCUUUUCAUUCUCUGACAUAUAAUGUUGUUUUGAUUCUGAUUAAUAUUUUUUUUUCUUCAUUUUUGGGGCUUUGAUUACAGUCGUCGACUGUUGUUGAAAUUCGUAGACCAACAUUGUAUGUCAGAGAAUGAAAAGAUGAACAAGUUUAACGCUCAUGAAGAAACUGAAGAACAGACUGUGUCAGCUUUUGACUUCUUGUAUCUUCCAAUGGAUUUCAAGUAUGUUAUUCCUUGCUCUAGCAGUUCAGCCAUGAAGUUGGGAGUAGGCGAUCUUCAUAUGCUCUCUCUCUUUGGUACUCUCUCUAUUAAAUCUACAGGGUAAUUCAAUUUCUAUCUUAAUUGCUUGUGAUUUCUAGGUUUGGUUUGGGUGUUCCACUUUGAUUGUGCUUGAUUUACUUUUCAAGUUCUAUUUUUUAUUUAAUUUCUUGAUGAUAGAGUAAACGGUUUUCAAUUUAGAGGGGUUUCGUUUCACUUGCUUUUUACUGUAAUUGUUCGUGUAGCUGUUUGUGUUUUUUUUUUUUUUUGAAAUCCAACAUUUCUUGUUUCAAAUGAUGUCAUAGUUUUGAUGUGGCAUAUGAAGUGUUUAUGUAGGUUUCAUUGUAGACCCGGGUUCUGAAGAUUGAGCACUUAGCUUGGCCUAUUGUGUGACCUCCUGCACAAGAAGAUUUAAGAAAAAGAAACAACAUUAAUCAAUUUGGUCUUUAAUUUUAUCUUAUAGUGUCACAUUUAUUUAAAAUGUAAUGGAGUUAAUCAAUACUAAUAUUUGAAAUAAAACUUAAAUUACCUGAUAGAGCCACCAUUUCCUUGGCAGAUAAACCUUUUUUCGAGAAGGCAGAAAUGAGACCAUUGAGAUCCAAAUUUGGUGCAGGGAUGUUGGUGUUUGAAGCACUCGCACUUGCCGUGGUUGAGUCCCUUCUGCCCAGCAACACAUUCCAACUAGGUCCACCCAGCUGAAAAUAAUAAAAAAUAUAUACAUAAAUAUAUAAAUGAGUAUUUACAAAAAGAGUUUUUUCAGAUUAAUACUAUAUAACCAAAAUUAAUACUAUCAGGUAAGGUAACAUAACUAACCCGUAUACAUGGAAGUGUUAUAACUCGCAUUGCUUUUCCUUUUUCUUUGGGAGUUGAAUAUGAAUUUUGCCAUCCUUGCUUGCAAAUUCAGUUUUAUCUACUCUUUAUUCUUGGGUAGGAUAUUUGAUUAUGGAUAUUCAACAUGAAAGAGAGAAGCUUUAAGCUUACAAGGCUGGAUGAACAUUCUAGGUGUAGUUGGUUGCCUUUUUCUCCUUCAAUCUACUAACAUCCAAAAGUGUGACUGGCAGAGAAUAUUUGCCAUGGAAGUUAGCAAAAAGAUUUGGUAGGGCUUGAGAGUGUAGCUUCCUUUGAAGAGAAGAGAGUUGAGGCGGCAGAAUGAAUUGGACUUAGCCCUAAAGGUGUUUGAAUUUGUGAGGAAGGAAGUAUGGUACGAUUCAAAUCUAUCUGUGUUCAGUGACAUGAUCUUGCUGCUGGGAAAGAAUAAAUUAAUUGAAAUGGCUGAACAACUUUUCUCUGAAUUAAAGAAAGAAGGUUUAGUACCUGACACGAGGGCGUAUACUGAGCUCAUUGGAGCGUAUCUACAAGUGGGAGUUGAAGUUGCACUUAUUAAAGCGCUAGAAAAAAGAAAGUUUGAAGAUGCAAGGGUCGUGCUUUUUUAAUUUCCUUGGCCAAUGUGAAAACUUCUACUGCAUGUGGUUGUGUUCACUACUUUUGUGAAAACUUCUUUUGGUUGUAUUUACUUUUCUGAAAACUUCUUUAGCAGUUUUAUUUAUUACUCCGCAUGAUGUAAACUCUUUUUCUUUUUGGUUGCCUAAAUCUAUUACACAUUUGGAUGGUA